rnacentral:rRNA from 1 species
UGCGGUAAAAGCUCGUAGUUGGAUUUCGGCGGGCUAGGGGCGGUUCGAUAUCUGUCGUUACUGCUCCUUUGCCCGUGUUUUUGGCGGACGGCUAGGCUGCUCUUAUCGAGUGUCCUGGGGAUCCCGUCAGGUUUACUUUGAAAGGUGCCAGUGCUCUCAGCAGGCAUUAACGCUAGAGCACCCGGUGCAUGGUAUAAUACCAUAGGACGUCGUCUCUAUAUGGUUGAUUUCAGGACUCUACGAUUUGAUCAAUACGUACAGUCGGGGGCAUUGUUUUCAGACGACAGAGGUGACUUCUUGGACCGUCUGAAGACUAACUACUUGCUAAACCUUUGCAAGGCCUGUUUUGUUAAUCCACAACAAAGUAGAGGUCCU